GGAAAAGCAGGAACAGGAAAUACAGACUCUCUCUUGUGGUUUGGCUUAUCAGGACAAAAAUACCCUUUGGCACUGCAGCGGUGGAAAGUACCACAGACUAACUUUCUACCUGGGAAGUUGGAGUGUCCACCAGUGUAGGAUUGUCUGGCCACACUUGAUUGCCAGCCAGGUAAUUUCCUAAGAUGACAUGUACUCCCCACAUAAGAAGGUCACAAACCCACGGCCACAUCACCUGGUCUAAGGGUAUGAUUCACGCUUUGGGUGGACGAGCCCCCAUUUGUUACAUACCCGGCGUACAAGCAAAAGGGAGGCCACACACAGGUGUAUCAGUCAAACAAGUAACUUAUUUAACUCAAAAUCCAAACAUAUGAACUAAAUUGUGACAUGUCAUAUUAGUCACAUUAGUAUUGUUACAGGUGUGUGGUUGAGUGAAAUGUGGUGCAAUGUGUGUUGGGCUGAGGGUGUGCCGUAGGCCAGGAUGAGCAAGACUGAGAUUCUCAGAAGGACAGUCUUCUAUAACUUUCUGAGAGCCACACCCACAUGGGCAGGUUCUUUUAUGGGUGCUGGUGGGAAACCAUGUGGUCAAGGGAUGCAGAUGGGAAUGAACGAUAAGUCCAUGCCAGAGGCUAAGGAAGUACAACUGGAAACCAAUGAAGUUGAUGCAUCAGCUGAACACAUGAAACAUGCACAGAAGGCCCUUAAUAGACCUCAAGGACUCAGAAAUGAGAAAAAUGACCAUCAACGCAGAGCUGGCGACCAUGUGAACAGCGACAACCUGACGGCGAGCGACCAUGUGCAUGUGCACUGCAACAACCUGACGGCGGGCGACCAUGUGCACGUGCAGGGCGACAACCUGACGGCGAGCGACAACCUGACGGCGGGCGACCAU
rnacentral:lncRNA from 15 species